AUACGGAGGAUGCGAGCGUUAUCCGGAUUUAUUGGGUUUAAAGGGAGCGUAGGUGGGAUAUUAAGUCAGCUGUGAAAGUUUGGGGCUCAACCUUAAAAUUGCAGUUGAUACUGGUUUCCUUGAGUACGGUACAGGUGGGCGGAAUUCAUGGUGUAGCGGUGAAAUGCUUAGAUAUCACGAAGAACUCCGAUCGCGAAGGCAGCUCACCGGGCCGGAACUGACACUGAUGCUCGAAAGUGCGGGUAUCAAACAGGAUUAGAUACCCUGGUAGUCCGCACAGUAAACGAUGAAUACUCGCUGUUUGCGAUACACGGUAAGCGGCCAAGCGAAAGCGUUAAGUAUUCCACCUGGGGAGUACGCCGGCAACGGUGAAACUCAAAUGAAUUGACGGGG
rnacentral:rRNA from 1 species